rnacentral:rRNA from 1 species
GGAUACGACGAUCGGAGGCAUCUCCUGGUCGUGGAAAGAACUUCGGUCAAGGAUCAGCUCACGGCCUAUCAGUUAGUUGGUGAGGUAAUGGCUCACCAAGACGACGACGGGUAGCCGGCCUGAGAGGGUGACCGGCCACACUGGGACUGAGACACGGCCCAGACUCCUACGGGAGGCAGCAGUGGGGAAUAUUGCACAAUGGGCGCAAGCCUGAUGCAGCAACGCCGCGUGAGGGACGAAGGCCUUCGGGUUGUAAACCUCUUUUAGCAGGGAAGAAGCGAAAGUGACGGUACCUGCAGAAAAAGCACCGGCUAACUACGUGCCAGCCGC